UUGAACGCUGGCGGCAGGCCUAACCCAUGCAAGUCGAGCGGAUGAGUGGAGCUUGCUCCAUGAUUCAGCGGCGGACGGGUGAGUAAUGCCUAGGAAUCUGCCUGGUAGUGGGGGACAACGUUUCGAAAGGAACGCUAAUACCGCAUACGUCCUACGGGAGAAAGUGGGGGAUCUUCGGACCUCACGCUAUCAGAUGAGCCUAGGUCGGAUUAGCUAGUUGGUGAGGUAAAGGCUCACCAAGGCGACGAUCCGUAACUGGUCUGAGAGGAUGAUCAGUCACACUGGAACUGAGACACGGUCCAGACUCCUACGGGAGGCAGCAGUGGGGAAUAUUGGACAAUGGGCGAAAGCCUGAUCCAGCCAUGCCGCGUGUGUGAAGAAGGUCUUCGGAUUGUAAAGCACUUUAAGUUGGGAGGAAGGGCAGUAAGUUAAUACCUUGCUGUUUUGACGUUACCAACAGAAUAAGCACCGGCUAACUUCGUG
rnacentral:rRNA from 1 species